UACAGAGGGGGCAAGCGUUGUUCGGAAUUACUGGGCGUAAAGGGCGCGUAGGCGGCCCGCUAAGUCGAACGUGAAAUCCCCGGGCUCAACCCGGGAACUGCGUCCGAUACUGGUGGGCUCGAAUCCGGGAGAGGGAUGCGGAAUUCCAGGUGUAGCGGUGAAAUGCGUAGAUAUCGGGAGGAACACCAGUGGCGAAGGCGGCGAUCUGGGAAGAUACUGACGCUGAGGUGCGAAAGCGUGGGGAGCAAACAGG
rnacentral:rRNA from 1 species